AGAGAUGUGUGAUGACGCAUAUCAAUAAGCGGAGGAAAAGAAACUAACAAGGAUUCCCUUAGUAACGGCGAGUGAAGCGGGAAGAGCUCAAAUUUGAAAUCUUCAAGGUUCUACCUUGACGAAUUGUAGUUUAUAGAAGUGUUUUCUGUUAGUAGAGUGGCAAAAGUUCUUUGGAAUAGGACAUCAUAGAGGGUGAGAAUCCCGUAUUUGGUCAUUCUUUCUAGCUUUGUGAUACACUUUCAACGAGUCGGAUUGUUUGGGAAUGCAGUCCAAAAUGGGUGGUAAAUUUCAUCUAAAGCUAAAUAUUGGCGAGAGACCGAUAGCGAACAAGUACCGUGAGGGAAAGAUGAAAAGAACUUUGAAAAGAGAGUUAAACAGUACGUGAAAUUGUCAAAAGGGAAGCGUUUGACACCAGUGUUGUUUUUCCGAAAAUCAAUUAAACUGAAUGUUUAUUUUUGAUAGUUAUGACUUCAUCAGGCCUGCAUUCUCUCUUUAUGUACUUUCUUAAUGCACUUUUCGUUAACAAGUCAACAUCAAUUUCUUUUGUUGUAAAAGGGUAUGAGGAAGGUGGCUUUCUUUUCGGAGAAAGUGUUUAUAGCCUUGUGCCUCUGCAAUCGGAGAGAUUGAGGUCUGCAGCGUAGAUCCUUCGGGGUUAGAUACAUUUGUGCUAAGUUAUAGCUUUUCAUAGACAACUUGUUGACUAUGUUAAGUCUUGUAGCUUACUCGCUUAUGCUAUUUUACCUACGCUUAGGAUGUUGAUCUGUAGUGCGUGCGC
rnacentral:rRNA from 1 species